rnacentral:rRNA from 1 species
GUGAACGCUGGCGGUGCGCCUAAAACAUGCAAGUCGAGUGGGUUAGACCCACGGCAAACGGCUGAGUAACACAUGGGUACCUUCCCCGAACUCAGGGAUAUCCCGCCGAAAGGCGGAGUAAUACCGGAUAGUCCCGCGCGCAAGCGUGGGUAAAGAUUCAUCGGUUCGGGAGGGGCCUGUGCCCUAUCAGAUAGUUGGUAAGGUAACGGCUUACCAAGUCUAUGACGGGUAACUGGUCUGAGAGGACGGCCAGUCAGAAUGGGACUGAGACACGGCCCAUACUCCUACGGGAGGCAGCAGUUAGGAAUCUUCCGCAAUGGGCGAAAGCCUGACGGAGCGACACCGCGUGAAGGAUGAAGCCCUUUCUGGGUGUAAACUUCUGUUAUGAGGGAAGAAAUUUUUGACGGUACCUCAUGAGAAAGCACCGGCUAAUUCUGU